rnacentral:rRNA from 1 species
AGUUUGAUCAUGGCUCAGAGUGAACGCUGGCGGCAGGCCUAAUACAUGCAAGUCGAACGGCAGCACAGCAGAGCUUGCUCUGUGGGUGGCGAGUGGCGGACGGGUGAGGAAUACGUGGGAAUCUGCCCAGUCGUGGGGGAUAACGUAGGGAAACUUACGCUAAUACCGCAUGCGCCCUUCGGGGGAAAGCCGGGGACCUUCGGGCCUGGCGCGAUUGGAUGAGCCCACGUCGGAUUAGCUAGUUGGCGGGUAAAGGCCCACCAAGGCGACGAUCCGUAGCUGGUCUGAGAGGAUGAUCAGCCACACUGGAACUGAGACACGGUCCAGACUCCUACGGGAGGCAGCAGUAGGGAAUAUUGGACAAUGGGCGCAAGCCUGAUCCAGCCAUGCCGCGUGAGUGAAGAAGGCCCUCGGGUUGUAAAGCUCUUUUGUCCGGAAAGAAAAGCGCCGGGUUAAUACCCUGGCGUCCUGACGGUACCGGAAGAAUAAGCACCGGCUAACUUCGUG